rnacentral:rRNA from 1 species
CGGAAGUCGUUAUAACUCAGAACGAAGAUUUAUCUGAGGGACGAGAUAUAACAAUGGCUUUAGUGGCGGACUGGUGAGUAACACGUAAGAAACCUGCCUAUUAGAGGGGAAUAACAACGAGAAAUCGUUGCUAAUACCGCAUAAGCUAGUAGUACCGCAUGGUACAGCUAGAAAAGGAGAAAUCCGCUAAUAGAUGGUCUUGCGUCCGAUUAGCUAGUUGGUGGGGUAACGGCCUACCAAGGCAACGAUCGGUAGCCGAGCUGAGAGGCUCAACGGCCACAUUGGGACUGAGAUACGGCCCAGACUCCUACGGGAGGCAGCAGUCGGGAAUAUUGCGCAAUGGAGGAAACUCUGACGCAGUGACGCCGCGUAUAGGAAGAAGGUUUUCGGAUUGUAAACUAUUUUAGACAGGGAAGAAAUUGACAGUACCUGUAGAAUAAGCUCCGGCUAACUACGUGCCAGCAGCCGCGGUAAUACGUAGGGAGCAAGCGUUAUCCGGAUUUAUUGGGUGUAAAGGGUGCGUAGACGGGAGAACAAGUUAGUUGUGAAAGCCCUCGGCUUAACUGAGGAACUGCAACUAAAACUAUUUUUCUUGAGUGCAGGAGAGGAAAGCGGAAUUCCUAGUGUAGCGGUGAAAUGCGUAGAUAUUAGGAGGAACACCAGUGGCGAAGGCGGCUUUCUGGACUGUAACUGACGUUGAGGCACGAAAGUGUGGGGAGCAAACAGGAUUAGAUACCCUGGUAGUCCACACCGUAAACGAUGGAUACUAGGUGUAGGAGAUGAUUUCAUCAUCUGUGCCGAAAGCAAACGCAAUAAGUAUCCCACCUGGGGAGUACGGCCGCAAGGUUGCAACUCAAAUGAAUUGACGG